CCGGUAAACGGCGGCCGUAACUAUAACGGUCCUAAGGUAGCGAAAUUCCUUGUCGGGUAAGUUCCGACCUGCACGAAUGGCGUAAUGAUGGCCAGGCUGUCUCCACCCGAGACUCAGUGAAAUUGAACUCGCUGUGAAGAUGCAGUGUACCCGCGGCAAGACGGAAAGACCCCGUGAACCUUUACUAUAGCUUGACACUGAACAUUGAGCCUUGAUGUGUAGGAUAGGUGGGAGGCUUUGAAGUGUGGACGCCAGUCUGCAUGGAGCCGACCUUGAAAUACCACCCUUUAAUGUUUGAUGUUCUAACGUUGGCCCGUAAUCCGGGUUGCGGACAGUGUCUGGUGGGUAGUUUGACUGGGGCGGUCUCCUCCUAAAGAGUAACGGAGGAGCACGAAGGUUGGCUAAUCCUGGUCGGACAUCAGGAGGUUAGUGCAAUGGCAUAAGCCAGCUUGACUGCGAGCGUGACGGCGCGAGCAGGUGCGAAAGCAGGUCAUAGUGAUCCGGUGGUUCUGAAUGGAAGGGCCAUCGCUCAACGGAUAAAAGGUACUCCGGGGAUAACAGGCUGAUACCGCCCAAGAGUUCAUAUCGACGGCGGUGUUUGGCACCUCGAUGUCGGCUCAUCACAUCCUGGGGCUGAAGUAGGUCCCAAGGGUAUGGCUGUUCGCCAUUUAAAGUGGUACGCGAGCUGGGUUUAGAACGUCGUGAGACAGUUCGGUCCCUAUCUGCCGUGGGCGCUGGAGAACUGAGGGGGGCUGCUCCUAGUACGAGAGGACCGGAGUGGACGCAUCACUGGUGUUCGGGUUGUCAUGCCAAUGGCACUGCCCGGUAGCUAAAUGCGGAAGAGAUAAGUGCUGAAAGCAUCUAAGCACGAAACUUGCCCCGAGAUG
rnacentral:rRNA from 1 species